rnacentral:ncRNA from 2 species
UGCUUAUCAAGAGUGGUGGAGGGAAAGGCCCUGUGAAACCACAGCAACCGGUUCGGCAACGAGCGCCAGGUGCUAAAUCCUGCCGAAUGGCAAAGAUGAGAG